rnacentral:rRNA from 1 species
CCUACGGGUGGCAGCAGUGAGGAAUAUUGGUCAAUGGCCGGAAGGCUGAACCAGCCAAGCCGCGUGAAGGACGAAGGUGCCAAGCAUUGUAAACUUCUUUUGUCAAGGGACAAAAUCAGGCUCGAGAGCCUGACCGAGGGUACUUGAAGAAACAGCAUCGGCUAACUCCGUGCCAGCAGCCGCGGUAAUACGGAGGAUGCGAGCGUUAUCCGGUUUUAUUGGGUUUAAAGGGUGCGUAGGCGGACUGUUAAGUCAGCGGUAAGAGCCCGGGGCUCAACCCCGGCGAGCCGUUGAACCUGGCUGUCUUGAGAUGUCGAGAGGUAUGCGGAAUGCGCAGGGUAGCGGUGAAAUGCGUAGAUAUUGCGCAGAACUCCGAUUGCGAAGGCAGCAUAGCGGCGGCGAUCUGACGCUGAGGCACGAAAGCGUGGGUAGCGAACAGGAUUAGAUACCCGGGUAGUC